AAAAGCUCGUAGUUGGAUCUCGGCUCGAGCCGGGCGGUCCGCCUACCGGUGGUCACUGUCUGUGCUCGGCGUUACCGCCGGUUUCCCCUGAUGAUCUUCACCGGUUGUCUCGGGUGACCGGCAAGUUUACUUUGAAAAAAUUAGAGUGCUCAAAGCAGGCGYGACGCCUGGAUAAUGGUGCAUGGAAUAAUGGAAUAGGACCUCGGUUCUAUUUUGUUGGUUUUCGGAACGCGAGGUAAUGAUUAAGAGGGACAGACGGGGGCAUUCGUAUUGCGACGCUAGAGGUGAAAUUCUUGGACCGUCGCAAGACGAACUACUGCGAAAGCAUUUGCCAAGAAUGUUUCCAUUAAUCAAGAACGAAAGUUAGAGGUUCGAAGGCGAUCAGAUACCGCCCUAGUUCUAACCAUAAACGAUGCCAGCCAGCGAUCCGGCUGUGUUCCUCAAAUGACACGCCGGGCAGCUUCCGGGAAACCAAAGCUUGUGGGUUCCGGGGGAAGUAUGGUUGCAAAGCUGAAACUUAAAGGAAUUGACGGAAGGGCACCACCAGAAAUGGAGCCUGCGGCUUAAUUUGACUCAACACGGGAAAACUUACCCGGCCCGGACACAGGAAGGAUUGACAGAUUAAGAGCUCUUUCUUGAUUCUGUGGGUGGUGGUGCAUGGCCGUUCUUAGUUGGUGGGGCGACUUGUCUGGUUAAUUCCGAUAACGAACGAGACUCUAGCCUACUAAAUAGACGUCCCGAUCCUCUUGCGUCGGACGUUCUUCUUAGAGGGACAGGCGGCGUUUAGCCGCACGAGACAGAGCAAUAACAGGUCUGGGAUGCCCUUAGAUGUCCGGGGCCGCACGCGCGCUACAUUGAAGGAAUCAGCGUGUUUUCUCCCUGUCCGACAGGACUGGGUAACCCGUUGAACCUCCUUCGUGCUUGGGAUAGGGGCUUGUAAUUGUUCCCCUUGAACGAGGAAUUCCCAGUAAGCGCGAGUCAUAAGCUCGUGUUGAUUACGUCCCUGCCCUUUGUCCACACCGCCCGUCGCUACUACCGAUUGAAUGAUUUAGUGAGGUCUUCGGACUGGCUCUCGGAUUGGCCUUCGUGGUCGAGCCGAAGUGCCGGAAAGAUGACCAAACUUGAUCAUUUAGAGGAAGUAAAAGUCGUAACAAGGUUUU
rnacentral:rRNA from 1 species